UGGGGAAUCUUGGACAAUGGGGGCAACCCUGAUCCAGCCAUGCCGCGUGAGUGAUGAAGGCCUUAGGGUCGUAAAGCUCUUUCGCCUGUGAAGAUAAUGACGGUAGCCGGAGAAGAAGCCCCGGCUAACUCCGUGCCAGCAGCCGCGGUAAUACGGAGGGGGUUAGCGUUGUUCGGAAUUACUGGGCGUAAAGCGCACGUAGGCGGACCAGAAAGUUGGGGGUGAAAUCCCGGGGGCUCAACCCCGGAACUGCCUCCAAAACUAUUGGUCUAGAGUUCGAGAGAGGUGAGUGGAAUUCCAAGUGUAGAGGUGAAAUUCGUAGAUAUUUGGAGGAACACCAGUGGCGAAGGCGGCUCACUGGCUCGAUACUGACGCUGAGGUGCGAAAGUGUGGGGAGCAAACAGGAUUAGAUACCCUGGGUAGUCCACACCGUAAAACGAUGAAUGCCAGUCGUCGGGUAGCAUGCUAUUCGGUGACACACCUAA
rnacentral:rRNA from 1 species